AGAGGGUGCAAACGUUGUUCGGAAUUAUCUGGGCUUAAAGCGUGUGUAGGCGGAUUGCUAAGUACCUUGUGAAAUCCCACGGCUUAACCGUGGAACUGCUUGGAUAUACUGGCGUGUCUUGAGCCACUUAGGGGCAACCGGAACAAACGGUGGAGCGGUGAAAUGCGUAGAUAUCGUUGGAACGCCAAUGGUGAAAACAGGUUGCUGG
rnacentral:rRNA from 1 species